CUUUUCUUUUUAUACUCCUUGUGUGGGCUUUUAAGGCAGGUCUAGUGGCAGUGGGGCUGGCUCAGUGGAUCCCUGUCAGUCACUUUGCUCUGUACUAAGUGUACUUUCGUGCCAUUUAAGCAGCCGAUGGUGUCACUGGUGCUGAGAGUGUAGCUUCUACAGCUCACACUGAAGGCUCUGGAGACCCAGGAGGGCAUGAGUUGUUUUAAGAUACAUGGCCAUUUGACAUACCCGUGUUAAGUUCAAUCUUGCUACAAAAGAAGGUCAUUUGUACUUCCUGACCCUGAAAGCAAGAACCAUGUCUCUUUAAAUCUACUGAGGAAGAUAUUCCUUCUGGCCCACAGGAUGCCAAAAUGACUCGAUGAUUUAUUUAUGCAGCGCUUGGCAGCCCAUCGUCCAGAUUGUGGCUGAAGCUGAAUUUUAUGAGCCUUCCCCCAAUCACUGGGAGAAUGGUAGAAGGAAUGAUGAGCCUUCCCUGAAGGUUCCAGGCUCUUCCUGCCACUAUUCUCUAGGGUGGGGCCACCUUCAUCUGGUUCCAGGAUACAGCAUGCCCAGGUCCAAGGAGUCACCCCUUUGGUUACAGUCACUAGACUUCAUCAGGCUCUCCUGUACUUUUUCAGGGGCCAUCGCUCUACAGUCACUAUAGAAAACUGUAGCAUCACCGUAAGCAUCAGUUCACUCCCACACUAUCAACCCAAAUAUGAUUGCUGUUCUGAUCAAGGCUGACAGUUUGUCACACCCUGCUGCUGCAGAGGCCAGACCAUUUUGAAAGACAAGAAACAGAAUGGAAAAUGGAGAGGAGAGCCCAGCAUGACUUGCGCUGUGCCAGAGGAAUACGUGUGAAGAAAGGUCUUGAAAGAGCCAGGUUGGUCCAGACCUGCUGGCAUGCCUGCAGCCCCAUCCACCGAUUACCUAAUACACUUGUGACAUCUGCUUUCCUUGUUGUGAGAAAACACAGGGAGGAAGUGUGUUUAGGAGGGGUGAUGUUUGAGCUACCCACCCGGCAACACCGGAAGUUUCAUUUCCUUCCAUUGGUAAGGGAAGACAUCUGCAACCCUGAACGUGUUUCACUGUAGAACCUCACUAGGAAACGCAUCGGUAUUUAUUAAAGAUGAAUUAAAAGAAGGAGAAAAAGGAAAAAUGGGAUAAUGAAGAGGAUAGAUGAAAGAAAAAAAAAGAAGAAAAGGGAAGAGAGGAGGAAGGGACAGAGAGGGCAAGAAAAGAGAAGAGAGAGAUGAGAGACCGACCGGGACUUCCCACCUAACCUUACCAAACUUUCAGUCGAGCUUUUAAUGGGAUACUAUUCCCAAGAGGAAAUUCAAAAAGAUAAGCACCUUGAAACAUCCUCCUUUUUAAUUGUACUCUUUCAACUGCCAGGAAAUUAAUUAGAUAGGACAAAAAGAAAUUUUUCUACCUUAAUGAAAAGAAGCCAACACCCGGGAGCAACUGUCUUUGCUUGAGAACAGUGUCACACGUCCAAAGCUGCCUACGAAGUGUCUCCUGCCGGGUUUAGGCAAGAAACUGUGGCAGAAGUCUGUGAUGUUAUACCAAGCCUGGGAAUUGUACGUGGUCAUGUCAGUGUCCAGUGCACCAGGUGACACAGGGACCUGCCAGGCACCCCUCCUCCAGAGAGACUGCCAACUAUAUGUGUCGCCUCUCUCCCUUAGGUUUCUCAGACACUGCGGCCUUCCUCCAAUCACCUGAUACAUGAUACAAACCUGAUAUACAUGAUCCAUGAUACAAACAGUAACAAAACAAAGCGGUAAACAAUCCAACGUGGAAAGCACCUACUAAAACCAAGAUUUAAUUUCACUGAAAUAAAAUCACAACAACAAAAAAACUCCAAGUGCCCUUUCUUUGCAUAACAUAUUUCAUGGUGCCCAACUACAGAGGCCAAGCCUGUGAUUUACAUCAAGCAAAGGGUCCUGGGAGAAAGAGAAGGAAAGACCACCUUUGACUGGGACAAGAUUCCUAUUUGUGUCAAGGUGAGUUAGGGAAGAGAUGGUUGAGGCAGAGCAACUGACUGCAGUCUUUAUCCAGUUUGCAUGGCUUUGGGGAAGGCCUUUUAACUGCAAGCUGGAUGGUCCAGAUGCUUCAUCAUGGUUCUUCCCUCUGAGCUUCCUCUGGCUUCUGGCUCCUCUUAGUCACGCUCACAACAGGGCUUUAUUAGGACUCUGGAGCAUCGGGCAAGCUCAGGUCUCACCUCUCCUUUUAAUUCUGCAGGAGUCUAUACCAUCCAUGUACUCCAGCCCUGCAUAGGAUGAGUUCUGGAAUUCAGCUGGAGCCCACAGAGAGUGGAUGUGAAACUUUUCCGUGGAACAUAGGAGCUGUCUGUACCAGCAUGGCUUCAGCCAGCAAUGGGCAUUAACAGCUCCUGCCAGAGGAGCAAGAGGCAGCCACUGAGCUAUAGAGAUCCACACUCCGUCCCUCAUACAACUGCCCGCUGUGACCAUCUUCUCCUUUCUGCUUUAUUACGCCUGAGAAGCACUUCAUAUGAUAACCUUCCCUUUCACUCUGGCCUGGACCCUUAUUGAAAAGGAAGAAGCAAUGGAAAAGAUCAGACAAGCAGUACUGUUCAAGACACUUCCUAAUUCCCUUAACAAGGGUUAUGAAGUUUUGGCUGGGAAAAAGGACAAGGGGCGGAGACAGCAGGUUUUUUUUUUUUUUUUUUUUUUUUACAGAAUGGUUCCGGAAGAGCUGACAGGCUUCGAAUGGCCAUGGGUUGUACGGUUUUGACAUUUAACAAUUUUAUUAACAUCUUUGUUUAUUAUUCACCUUAAUCUUCAGCAUCUGCAUCUGGAAUGAGUGUGUCCAGCUAACAGCCUGUGUCUCAGGCCCUGCCAGGGGAUGAAUCAAUUAGCAGGCGAAGCCAUGAUGCAAACGUUCUGGGGUCACUUGAGAGGCUGUUUGCCUUUUUGAUAGAGAAAGCACACCAUAAAUAACAUCACACCUCAGGAAAUCAUUCCAGGAGGCCCAGAGGCUAGCAGGACGGCUGUCGGGGACAGAGGGGAUAGUUGGCUCCCUGUGUGGAUUUCCCUCAUUCCGGUCAAUGGAAGAUUUGUAGUAAAAUCAAAAUAUUUUAAAGGAGGACAGUGUGCGGUAACAGAGGCAUGUUUAGCUUUUUUUUUUUUUUUAAGUACCAGAACCCAUGAUUUAUAACCCACAGUUACAACCAACUUUAUUAAAAAAAUGACUUCACCCAUAAUAACCUUAUUCAGAAAUCCUUGGAGAAUGAUGUAGUACCCCAAAACAUUAUAAUCUAGCAAAUAUUCACAAACAAUUCCUACUGCUGUCCCUUUUCCCCACCCACUCAGUGGUAGGGUAGGGUUCCCCCCCCCUUUUUUUUAACCAGCUGGGAGAAAGAGGUCCCAGACAAGCUUCUAUACUAUUUUGUGGACAUUUGCCAGAUCGGGUCUUUCAAAUCACCCAGGACAGAGGUUGCCUCCUGGCUUUGAACUUUAUCUUCCCCAACCUGUGCCCUAGGCAACAGCGCACAGGAUCCAUUCACCUUCACUGCCUCCCUGAACAUCGCUGUCUCCCUCCCUCCUGCCAGACUGAGAACUUGGAUACCCAGCAUCCAGGGGCAGCUUCAUGAAGUCCCCUCCCUUUUUAAUUGUCAUGGUAACCGACAGCUGCAUUAAAAUGACCAAGACUGGGGGGGGGGGGGAGGUGUCCAAGCAAUGUCCCUUGGGUGUGCCUGGAUCUAGGAACUGGUCCUCUAUCUUAUUAAACUCAGGUGUCAGUCCCUAGCAGUUGUGUUAAAUUUACACCCUCCAAGUGGGUUAGCGGGAUUACAUGUCCAUUUGCAUUAAAACAGGUUUCUGUCAUUAAACUGCCAUACAAUAAGCGUCCUUGGGACAAAUUAAUGAGCUCUAAAUAUCAUCAAGUAGAGAAGUUCACUUCACCAAGACAGCCACCAUGGGGUUGGAGGGGGUGGCGGCUCACUGUUCUCACCCAAGAGAACCGUAAGUGCCAGCUAAAGACGGUCUCAUCCUGCUUCUCCAUCGAAAGAUGAGUGUCAUGAUUUAGAGCCCUCUGAGGAGCUGGUGAGUUCUCCCCUGGCCUGGCCCUAGAGCUCAUCUCUUCCUAUUCCUUAUUCCAGACAUGUUGUUAGCAUUGACCUUGUCUGCUCGAAAUCGCUGAACAACCAUUGGCUUCUUUCCUAGGUGACCGUGCUUCAGCUUCGUUUCUCUUUCCUUGCUUUCUGAUAUUACAGACCAUCUGUGUAUAGUGUGGCCUGUUAACUGAAUGCACCCAACACAGCGCCAGGUGUAGCCACAGAGUGGGUCUCUGCUCUAAAACGCCCUCCUGAGUAUUGUUAGUAGAGCAGUAGGCCCAUGAGUUGGGUGGGGGCCUAUCCUCUGGAAAACUGGAUUUACUGGAAGUUCCUUUCCCAGUUGUCCAAAAGGUAUGUUUAAGUGUGUGUGUGUGUGUGUGUGUGUGUGUGUGUGUGUGUGUGCAUGUACACACAGGAACACAUGCCCAUGUGCCAUAGUACAUCUGUGGAGGUCUUGAAAAAGUUGAUUCUUGAGUUUUACCAUGGGGAUCCUGGGAGUUGAACUCAGCUUGCUGCACUUAGAAGCGGGUACCUGAGCCAUCUUGGAAGCAGGUACCUGAGCCAUCUUGGAAGCCCCUAGGGGAGACUUCUUUUAAGACUGAAUUCUUUCUGUUCACAAGCAUAGUCAGUGUUUGCCCUCACAAGUACAUAAUAGGUAUAAGUAGAAAUUAUUUAUCAGAAACCAAUAAAUAAAGCCCCAAGCUUUCUCUUACAUGAACCUCCUCCACCGCGCUCUGAUCUCAUUUCUGUGCGGCUCUAACAGGGGACAGUAAUGUAUGAUUGAGACACUGCUACAUUUAGGAAUGACAAGAUGGGCAUUAUUAAUAGCUUAAUUGACAUUAAGGCAAUUACCCCUACCCUUAUUACAGUUUGUAGAAUUACUCAGAAAAUAUUGGCUGAGGCCUUUCUUUCCCUAGAGCUACCCAAGGAUACAGCAUUUUAUUUCAUGCCAGAUCUCGGCUUUGACAUUAGAUACUUAGCCAUAGAAUGAUUCCAGUAAAUCAUUAUAAAUGCAUUAUAAUAAAGAUGUUAUGAGCUAUCAGAUAUUAACCCCCAACCCCUAAAGAGAGAUAAAUAGUUCAGUUGCUUGGUUCCCACUAUUGUUUCAUCAGAAAUAAGCUUUUGCAAGGAGCAACUGACUAAUGAAUUAUAAAAUGGUGUGCUGAGCUCAGAUAAUUAAACAAUGCAUUUUAGUGUCUAGUGCAAGAUGAACACUAAAUCAUACACAGAUAAAAAAGGGGAAAUAUAAACCCAGGCCCAACUCCUAGUCUCAAAGAGAGUUAAGGUAGUAGGCUACAACGCAGCAACGUGUUGGACAUUUUCUCACCUGAGUACAGGGACCUGCCAAAUAAGAUCAAGAUACAAAUGGAUUAAUUCAACCAAGAGACAGAACAGAGUUCUGGAGGUGUUAAUUUCAGAUAAACCUACAAGGUUAUUUUAAAGGGGAUUUUACAUGGAGGGUACUUUUUUAUCCCCCAAAGUGCUCAUGGGCCCUAAAUAAAUAUAAGAACCCAGAAGUUUCUAAGUUUCCUCCGACUCUCCAGAUUUUACUUUUGAUCUCUGAACUCACAGUGAAGCCUAUUAAUGGGAGUUUGCAGAUCAGGGUAGAAACCAUUGUGCUGACGAUUGUCUUGGCCUUAAAGCAUUGCAAAGACAAAGCCUGCUGUGGAGGUGGGGCGAGGAGGAUUUGAGUUCCCAUCACUACGCUCAGGUAGGUCUCUACACCCUACAAGGCUCCAUCUAGUGGUCAACUUUAGAUGAUCAUGACAUUUUUCUCUGGCUUUGCCACCAAGGUUGGUCUGUUAAUUAAUUACGUAUUUUAGUCAUCCAGCCUCCCAAAAGACAUGGGGACCACCUUAGGAUAGCUUCUUGUUUACUGCUCAAGCUUCAUUAUUCUAAGGAUUUCAAAGAAAAACUGCCUCAGAUCAUUCAGGAACAAGGGCUGACCACCUGUGCCCAGGGACAGGGCUUCUGUCAACUCUGGGUCUAUGGUGAAUCACUUGGUGUUUUCCUGUGCUCUGGUUAACCUGGGCACCACUGCUGAAUCCUUCCAUCACAACCACUUCAGUUUACCUGACCUCUCUAAAGUUUAUUUCCUUCAAAGGUACGAUGAAAAUAAUACAAUAAUGCUUACCCAUUCCAUCAUGUAGACAUGAAUAAGUCUACUCAUGCAAAAUAAUUGUUAUCUCUUUUCAUUUUAUUAUCUCAUUUUUAAUCCUAUGUCUCUCUUUACCCUUUAUCUUUUCUUCUAAUCCCCAUCCCCUGCCCCUCUCUCUCUCUCUCUCUCUCUCUCUCUCUCUCUCUCUCUCACACACACACACACACACACACACACACACAUUUGUAAAUCUAUGACUUGAAAACUUCUGCCAAAUUUACUCAAGCAGUCUUCCUUGAGUCUUGCACGGGGCUGUUUGUGGUACCCAUCCGGUAAGAGCUACCUACCCCCAGCUACAUUAAUCAUCACAGCUACUGGUAACAGUUAAUGUCUUCCGACUGCUUAAUAUAAGCCAGGCGGCAUGCUAAGUAUCAUCAGCUUGUUAAAUUUUCACAAGCAUAUGAGGCAAGUACUAUUUUCAUCUUCAUCUUAAGGGAAAUUAAAGCUUAAAGAUGUUAUGUAACUUGCUGAAGGUCAUGCAAACUGCAAAGCAGAAAGCCAAGCUACUUGCUAAGGAUCAGCCUGGAUCUUCAGGCUGAUUUUUUGUCAGCUCUCUCUUCUUUUACACUGGCCUUAUCAAGGGACCUCAUGAGCAUGUGCCCAACUCUUAGCUGGAGUGCAACUUGGUUUACAAUUGCCCCAAAGUUACUUAUUUUGAAACUCCCCGGACAUUAUAUAAUACCACCCCCAAAAGACUUGUAUUACUAUAUACAACUUCAUUUCACUUUGAAAGAAUAUGUCUGCAGGAGGUGACACACUUGGUUGUGCAUUCAGGUUGGAACAGUCCCGCCUCACUUGACACCUUGGAUGGCUGGCAGCCACCCUCCACCACUGUCACAAGAGACUGAUAACCUCCCAGUCUUGCUCAGAACACUGGUGCUUCCUAACGACCCAAGACUCACAAAUCUCAUCCCUUCCUUAAUUGAAGGUGUAAAUGAAGGGGAGGGAGCAAUCCAACCUUAGGGAUAAAUUAUCUUAGCAAUCUAAGAUUGCUGUAUUGUCAGAUAAAAGGCAGGUGUGAGUUUGCUGAAAGUGUGGUGCUUGGAAACAAAAGUCCACACAAGGAGGUGCAGUGAGGUUAUGGGGGCGUCUGCGCAGCAAACACGACAGAGGCAAGGAGGGGGGCUAGCUGAAAGUAGUGGUCUGUUUGCUUUAGGCUUGUCUCCACUUGUACUUCAAAGCACAUCAGAUGGACAUUUUUUUCCACAGUCUUCACACAUGGUCCUGAUUCUGACUGAGUGCCGUGGAGAGUCACUGCUAGCGUCUCAGUGUCAGGCACACUGUCCUUUGAGGCACACGGCAGCUGUACUACUUGGCUCCCUUGCAGCUGGACAAGCCAGUGGUCUGUCUACUAUUUUGAUCGGAGCUACUGUGUGUGCCAAAAGCACGUCCACAGAAGACCCUCUAGCUCUCUCUCCCUGCAGAAGUGACCUUGGCAGCAUAUGUUGAGAGGGCUGAGUACUGGAUAGCCUGGAUUCCUAAAAGAUUUGGUGCAGCCCCAUGUUCGACUCACAGCAUCAGCAAGAAGUAAACUUCUGUUAGACUAAGCACUGACAUUUGGAGGUUGUUUAUUACAACAACAAAACCCAGCCAAUCCUGACUAAUCCAGGAGCUGACAUUUUGUUCAGAAAAUAUGGGCCUCUUCUUUCCAAGUCAUAAGCCGGUAUUCCUUUUCCAAUAGUUUGAUUCACUCACUAAAUAGUUUAAACUUUUCAUCCUGUCGGCAUACUCUCAGAUGCCUAAAACCACCAGAAAGAGCUGGGAUUGUACCAAGUUCUGUCUUGCCCUUCACCAUCGACAAGUAAUUGUUGUUAUUCUCUAAUAGACAGAAGAACAGAAAAGACAAGGUUGGUCUUUUCAGCAUCACAUAGGAUCAUGUGACCACGAAAGGGGGAGAAACUGUGAAGAGGAAAGAGCAUACGAUGGCAAAGAGUAAAAAGCAAAUAUAGGCGGGAGAAUCAGAGAAAAGACCGACACAAAAACGUAGGCACUGUCUUUGCAGUUAGCGGUACCCAGUUGCCUGCAGAUAGGUUCCACUCCUUGUGGAGACACUCAGCAUCUUUGACUUCUGCAUCUAUACGUUUGCAUCUAUAUGUCUAGCUUGCCAUGGUACUCAAGGAAAAUUGGCUGAAAGGGUAAAUAAAGGCAGGAGUCUUGCAUCUUUACAGUCUUGAAUGCUUGUGGAGCUAAGUGGUCUGUGACUAUAAAUGGGUCUUCCAUCACACCCUGAGAGACAGGACCGAAGAGGAGAGCAAUAAGUGUGUUUGAAUAGCUCCUUGUAAUCUUUAAACCCAAGUCCUUGAAAAGAGCAACUAUGAGGUCAGAGCAAUAAUUCUUUGUCCUAGAAGCAGGACACCGCGGAUAACUCGGGGCAGUCCAUUUUUUAAAGCUCUUCACAUAAACUGGUUAGAAAUGCCCUUGUUUUGUUUGUUUCUGGCUGGGCAGAAUGGAGGAUAGAUACAGUGAGCACGGAGGUGUCUGUGACCUUGAGGUGGGGAGAGGUGGGAGAACGGAGCGGAAUGCGAUUUGCUGAGUAACUGUUUUAAUGCUUUCCAUGGAAGGGAUGAAAAUGUGCGGUGGGGUAGAAGAGGAAAAGCUGCGACUCAGUCACUGGAUAAGGCCCUGGGAACCCUUAGUAGAUGAUUCAGCUCAUUACAGGAUAAUUCCCCUUCUCUGAGAUCUGCAGAAUGGCACUGGUCAAGCUGCCCCCCCCAAACCCUAUUCAAGAAUUCUUGCAGGCAAAACUAAUAGGAUCCAGAAGGUAGCUGGACCUCUCUCUGGUGAGGAAAGCACACAUCUAGGUUUCUAGUCUCAGGGAUUUAUUGGUACAUGAUGCCAUGACUCUAUGGUUGUGUGUGGGGGUCAGUCUGAAAAGCUCAGAGGCCCAGCGUUUGACAUGAGAAUGCAAACACGUGAUCUGUCAGCUGCCACAUACUAGCUGCAUGGGGACAGCAGCGACAUAGAACAGACAUGAGCCAUGAGCCACAUAGGGAGCCAGUCUCGAGUCCCAUCAAAACACAGCACAGGCUGUGUUCCAUCCAAACAAGCUUCAGUUUGAAAGAAACUAAAAAUCCCUUGGCUUGAGCAUCUCUUAGGAUGAACACUAAACUUCCUAGUUUAAAUCCAUCAUUUUCUAUCUGCCAUAGCAAACUAUACUCCUCUCUGUUUAUCAGAAGAAUGAACAUUCUUACUUCCCUAGUUUGAAUACCCCAAGUUGUGAGCUUUUCUUUUGUUUCCCCCCUUUGACCUGACUAUCUUUAUGGCAACUGGACACGAGCUGAAGUCAUCUGCCAGGAGGCCAUCUCAAAGGGGAAGGAGGAAAAAAGCCUUCAGACUAUAGGGAGACAAGCCUGUGCUGUAUUUUCUUAAUUAGUGAUUGGUGGGGAAGGGCCCAGCCCAUUGUGUGUGGGGACACCUCUGGGCUGCUGGUCUUGGGUCCAAUAGGAAAGAGAGCUGAGCAAGCCAGUAAGCAGCACCCCUCCACGGUCUCUGCAUCACUCCUGUCUCCAGGUUCUGGCCCAGUGUGAGUUCUUACCUUGAUUUCCCUCAAUGGACUGUGAUUCAGGAUAUGUAAGGCAAAUAAACCCUUUCAUCCUUAAGUCGCUUUUGGUCAUGAUGUCCCUUCAUAGCAAUAGUAACCCUAACUGAGACAGAUUCUUUAUUCAAACCCUUUCCUUUAAGUGCUUCUUGAAUUUGUCCUUGUCUUCUUGCCUGGAAUAUACCGAGGUAGUAUAUCUAAUUCUCAACCAUUGCCUUCCUAUAGGAAACAUAAAACACACAAACAAUGAAAUACUGACUAUCCCAUAAUCCAUGCAGAAAUGAUGAGUGUUGCAAUAGCAACGGCUCUAAGUGCUGGAGAGUUUAGGUCUCAUGUAAUUUUAUUGUUAUUAAUAAAAUUAAUUUGUUAAAAUUAUGUUGAAGGAUAUAGACUUUGGUUGAAAAGGAGUCUUAUUGGGUAACCCAGAAUAGCUUCAAAUUCAUAAUCCUCUGCCUCAGCCUCUGAAAUGCUGAGAUUGCAGGUCUAUAAGUCCCCAGACUAAAUUCUAUUAUUACUUUGAAGCGGAUGUUUCUCCUUUGUCCUCUUUUUCACU
rnacentral:lncRNA from 1 species